rnacentral:lncRNA from 1 species
CCCAAUUGGGAUACAAGCCUAGUGAAGGAAAAAGAGUACAACAAUCCCUAAGAGAGACCUUAAUACAUUACAUUAACAAAAUAAAUACGAAAGGAAAUGACGGCGUAGGUCGAAACACCUGUGAAGGUUGGUUUCCUUGUUGUAACACCGGCGGAGGUUGAGAACUUUCAUUGGUGGGAAGUGUUUGAUCGUCCAACAAUUCAUAGUAUUGUUGAUAAUGAUGGUGAUCCAUUUUGAAUUUUGUUUGAAUCUUUGGACAAGAGAGAACUUGUGGGAGUAAAAAUUGAUGUGUAAAAUGAUGAAGUGCACACUAUAUAUAAUGUAUAAAAGCUGAAAAUGUGAGAGAAACGGUCUGAUAACCGGCCAAACCGGUCAGACAACCUAAAACGGUAAAAAAACCGGCUCCAGCCGGUCAAAACCGGUCUGAAACCGGUCCACAACGGGAGGGUGACCUGCCCAACCGGUCACCCUAUAUAUAAACCCAUUUCAGCCCCAAUUCCUAACCCUAGCUGUUUCUCCCCCUCGAAACCCUCUUCUUCUUCUUCUCCCCUCUUUUCUUCUUCUUCUUCUCCCCUCUUCUCUUCUUCUCCCCUGCCUCCUCGAAACCCUCUUCUCUUCUUCUCCCCUCUUCUCUUCUUCUUCUUCUCCCCUCUUCUCCCCUGCCUCCUCGAAACCCUCUUCUCUUCUUCUUCUUCUUCUCCCCUCUUCUCUUCUUCUCCCCUCUUCUCUUCUCUGUUUCUACCUGCAACCUCACUGCAACCUCACCACCACUGAAACCCAACCCACCGAAACCCAACCCACCUCACCGCCUCAAACACCCACCACCACAGCCAAAAUCCACCUCAUCGCCCCCAAAUCGACUGACCACCACCCAAAUCGGAGCCACCAGAUCAGAUCAGGGGAAAGGAAGCCCCUUUUUCGCACAUGCAAGUCUCCAGAUCAUAUCCCUUUCAAGCAGAUCGGACAUGCAAGGCUCAGAGAUUUUUUUUUUCUAUGUAAAUAUCAGUUGCAGUGUAAAAGUUUGAUUUUUUAUCAUUCAGUUUGAUUUUGGUUGUAAAGUUUGGAUUUUUUUUUUAAAAAAAAUUGAUUUUGGUUAUGUUCUUGUGUAGUUUAUUUCAAAUCUGUUGUUCUUCUUCUUCCCUUCUACCGUUUCUUCCCUCUGAAAGUAGUUGAUGAGGAGCAUGUGAGAGAAGAUAAUAAUUUUUUAAUGUAAGAGCCCACAAAGCAAAAGCUCUUGCAGAAGAGCCUCUGCACUGUAGCUAAGAGCUUGAAGGCCCUCUCCAACGCACAGAAAAAAUAAGAGCCGGCUCUUAAGCCCUCCAGCU